GGGUUGUGAGGUUAAGCGACUAAGCGUACACGGUGGAUGCCCUGGCAGUCAGAGGCGAUGAAGGACGUGCUAAUCUGCGAAAAGCGCCGGCGAGGUGAUAUGAACCUUUGACCCGGCGAUGUCCGAAUGGGGAAACCCAGUGCAAUCCGUUGCACUAUCGUUAACUGAAUACAUAGGUUAACGAGGCGAACCGGGGGAACUGAAACAUCUAAGUACCCCGAGGAAAAGAAAUCAACCGAGAUUCCCCCAGUAGCGGCGAGCGAACGGGGAGCAGCCCGGAGUCUGAAUCAGCUUGUGUGUUAGUGGAACGGUCUGGAAAGUCCGACGGUACAGGGUGAUAGUCCCGUACACGAAAGCACACUUGCUGUGAACUCGAAGAGUAGGGCGGGACACGUGGUAUCCUGUCUGAAUAUGGGGGGACCAUCCUCCAAGGCUAAAUACUCCUGACUGACCGAUAGUGAACCAGUACCGUGAGGGAAAGGCGAAAAGAACCCCGGCGAGGGGAGUGAAAAAGAACCUGAAACCGUGUACGUACAAGCAGUGGGAGCCUCUUUAUGGGGUGACUGCGUACCUUUUGUAUAAUGGGUCAGCGACUUAUAUUCUGUAGCAAGGUUAACCGUAUAGGGGAGCCGAAGGGAAACCGAGUCUUAACUGGGCGUUAAGUUGCAGGGUAUAGACCCGAAACCCGGUGAUCUAGCCAUGGGCAGGUUGAAGGUUGGGUAACACUAACUGGAGGACCGAACCGACUAAUGUUGAAAAAUUAGCGGAUGACCUGUGGCUGGGGGUGAAAGGCCAAUCAAACCGGGAGAUAGCUGGUUCUCCCCGAAAGCUAUUUAGGUAGCGCCUCGUGAACUCAUCUUCGGGGGUAGAGCACUGUUUCGGCUAGGGGGCCAUCCCGGCUUACCAACCCGAUGCAAACUACGAAUACCGAAGAAUGUUAUCACGGGAGACACACGGCGGGUGCUAACGUCCGUCGUGAAGAGGGAAACAACCCAGACCGCCAGCUAAGGUCCCAAAGUCAUGGUUAAGUGGGAAACGAUGUGGGAAGGCACAGACAGCCAGGAUGUUGGCUUAGAAGCAGCCAUCAUUUAAAGAAAGCGUAAUAGCUCACUGGUCGAGUCGGCCUGCGCGGAAGAUGUAACGGGGCUAAACCAUGCACCGAAGCUGCGGCAGCGACGCUUAUGCGUUGUUGGGUAGGGGAGCGUUCUGUAAGCCGUUGAAGGUGUGCUGUGAGGCAUGCUGGAGGUAUCAGAAGUGCGAAUGCUGACAUAAGUAACGAUAAAGCGGGUGAAAAGCCCGCUCGCCGGAAGACCAAGGGUUCCUGUCCAACGUUAAUCGGGGCAGGGUGAGUCGACCCCUAAGGCGAGGCCGAAAGGCGUAGUCGAUGGGAAACAGGUUAAUAUUCCUGUACUUGGUGUUACUGCGAAGGGGGGACGGAGAAGGCUAUGUCAGCCGGGCGACGGUUGUCCCGGUUUAAGCAUGUAGGCGGAGGUUCCAGGUAAAUCCGGUACCUUAUUAACGCUGAGGUGUGAUGACGAGGCACUACGGUGCUGAAGUGAUAAAUGCCCUGCUUCCAGGAAAAGCCUCUAAGCAUCAGGUAACACGAAAUCGUACCCCAAACCGACACAGGUGGUCAGGUAGAGAAUACCAAGGCGCUUGAGAGAACUCGGGUGAAGGAACUAGGCAAAAUGGUGCCGUAACUUCGGGAGAAGGCACGCUGAUAUGUAGGUGAAGUCCCUGCGGACGGAGCUGAAAUCAGUCGAAGAUACCAGCUGGCUGCAACUGUUUAUUAAAAACACAGCACUGUGCAAACACGAAAGUGGACGUAUACGGUGUGACGCCUGCCCGGUGCCGGAAGGUUAAUUGAUGGGGUUAGCGGCAACGCGAAGCUCUUGAUCGAAGCCCCGGUAAACGGCGGCCGUAACUAUAACGGUCCUAAGGUAGCGAAAUUCCUUGUCGGGUAAGUUCCGACCUGCACGAAUGGCGUAAUGAUGGCCAGGCUGUCUCCACCCGAGACUCAGUGAAAUUGAACUCGCUGUGAAGAUGCAGUGUACCCGCGGCAAGACGGAAAGACCCCGUGAACCUUUACUAUAGCUUGACACUGAACACUGGUCCUUGAUGUGUAGGAUAGGUGGGAGGCUUUGAAGCGUGGACGCCAGUCUGCGUGGAGCCAACCUUGAAAUACCACCCUUUAAUGGCUGGUGUUCUAACGUAGACCCGUAAUCCGGGUUGCGGACAGUGUCUGGUGGGUAGUUUGACUGGGGCGGUCUCCUCCCAAAGAGUAACGGAGGAGCACGAAGGUUGGCUAAUCCUGGUCGGACAUCAGGAGGUUAGUGCAAUGGCAUAAGCCAGCUUGACUGCGAGCGUGACGGCGCGAGCAGGUGCGAAAGCAGGUCAUAGUGAUCCGGUGGUUCUGAAUGGAAGGGCCAUCGCUCAACGGAUAAAAGGUACUCCGGGGAUAACAGGCUGAUACCGCCCAAGAGUUCAUAUCGACGGCGGUGUUUGGCACCUCGAUGUCGGCUCAUCACAUCCUGGGGCUGAAGUAGGUCCCAAGGGUAUGGCUGUUCGCCAUUUAAAGUGGUACGCGAGCUGGGUUUAGAACGUCGUGAGACAGUUCGGUCCCUAUCUGCCGUGGGCGCUGGAGAAUUGAGGGGGGCUGCUCCUAGUACGAGAGGACCGGAGUGGACGCAUCACUGGUGUUCGGGUUGUCAUGCCAAUGGCACUGCCCGGUAGCUAAAUGCGGAAGAGAUAAGUGCUGAAAGCAUCUAAGCACGAAACUUGCCCCGAGAUGAGUUCUCCCUGAGAC
rnacentral:rRNA from 1 species